rnacentral:piRNA from 1 species
UAAUGUUUCUGGAUUGAGGAA